GACGAACGCUGGCGGCGUGCUUAACACAUGCAAGUCGAGCGAUGAAGUCUCUUCGGAGAUGGAUUAGCGGCGGACGGGUGAGUAACACGUGGGUAACCUGCCUCAUAGAGGGGAAUAGCCUUUCGAAAGGAAGAUUAAUACCCCAUAAGAUUGUAGUUUCGCAUGAAACAGCAAUUAAAGGAGUAAUCCGCUAUGAGAUGGACCCGCGUCGCAUUAGCUAGUUGGUGAGGUAACGGCUCACCAAGGCGACGAUGCGUGGCCGACCUGAGAGGGUGAUCGGCCACAUUGGGACUGAGACACGGCCCAGACUCCUACGGGAGGCAGCAGUGGGGAAUAUUGCACAAUGGGGGAAACCCUGAUGCAGCAACGCCGCGUGAGUGAUGACGGUCUUCGGAUUGUAAAGCUCUGUCUUCAGGGACGAUAAUGACGGUACCUGAGGAGGAAGCCACGGCUAACUACGUGCCAGCAGCCGCAGUAA
rnacentral:rRNA from 1 species